AUUGAACGCUGGCGGCAGGCUUAACACAUGCAAGUCGAACGAUGACUCUCUAGCUUGCUAGAGAUGAUUAGUGGCGGACGGGUGAGUAACAUUUAGGAAUCUACCUAGUAGUGGGGGAUAGCUCGGGGAAACUCGAAUUAAUACCGCAUACGACCUACGGGUGAAAGGGGGCGCAAGCUCUUGCUAUUAGAUGAGCCUAAAUCAGAUUAGCUAGUUGGUGGGGUAAAGGCCCACCAAGGCGACGAUCUGUAACUGGUCUGAGAGGAUGAUCAGUCACACCGAACUGGAGCACCGUCCGGACUCCUAAGGGGAGCAGGAGUGGGGAAUUUUUGACCAUGGGGGCAAACCUGGUCCAGCCAAGCCGCGUGGGGUAAGAAAGCCUUUUUGGUGUAAAGCACUUUAAGCAGGGAGGAGAGGCUAAUGGUUAAUACCCAUUAGAUUAGACGUUACCUGCAGAAUAAGCACCGGCUAACUCUGUG
rnacentral:rRNA from 1 species